UAAGGUUCGAAAACAGUUUUCGCGUUCAGUCUACCGUUUUCAUCACUGUUCGUGUGGCAUUGCCUGUAGGGCUUCGUUGGUCUAUUGAUUUCAGCACUUGUUUUAGAGCUCCGUUCGUGUACUGGGUGUAGGAUCUCCCUUCGUGCACUAGGUUUAGGAUCCAUUCUCACUUGCGGAGUUGCCGGCGCAAACCCUGAGGGCGAACGAUACUCCUCUGGCCAUCCCUUACAGUGCCAAAUUCUUUAGUACAUGUCUCCUUGCCAAAGUGGCAGCUUUACGAUAGUAGUUGUUCCCCCAUAAUGAGAUUAUGGAAUUUAUUUUUGAACCAUCCAAGCAAUUUAUUUCUCUGCAACCCAUUUUAUUUGUUCUAUUAGGCCAUGCUUUCGUUGUACACAGAUUUCUCUAAGAAGUGUACUGGGCUUGUGCUUAACUGAAGCAAAUUCACGGUGCAACCUUGGUUUGCAAUUCAGUUUGAGUGUAUGCUCAAUUGGUUUUUCAUGGACUUCACAAAGUUUUGGUAACUCACAGAAAUUUUGCAAGCAAUCUGUUGUGUAUAGUUUUAUUUUAACAUAAGAGUUAAAUGGACCCUACUUAUUGUAGAACUGUAGUAAGGACAAUAGAGGCUUGAUGCAACGCAUGUAGUAUCAAUUUGAUACCUUAAAGUUGUAUGGGUGGUUGCCAAGGUUUAUCAUGGCUGUGAAGUGUGGUAAUUCUGUUGACUAUAUGAGAUUAUUGAAUCAUGCUCUGUUGCUUUCACUGGUCUGGUCACAUGAUGUAGGCGUGUGUGAUGGGUUGUUUCUGAAAAUUUUGUUUUUCCUUGACUUAUGAUGAUAAUGUUUGUAUGGUUUUGGGAUAUAAUGUGGUAAGUAUUACAAAUGGUUAGAGUCAGAAAUGAUCUGCAUCUGUUUGCUGCUUAAGUGUGAAUGUGACUAUCUUGCCAUAUUGCUUUAGGACCGAAAUCUGCGUUUCUGAACAAUAAAAUUAGUGUUACGCUCUAUUCAUAAACUUGGAAUUUUUAAAAUGCGUUUUUGAGAAACUAGAGCUAUACAUGAAACAAUUUAUGUGAUGAUUUCCUGUCUAGCAGCCUAAAUAAUUUAUGGAUUAACCUGAGUGAUAUUUUUUAACAAGACCUAUGUGGAGGUAUUUAUCUCAAUGAUAAUUGUUAAUUGGAAUGCAUAAAAACAUAUGUUCUGUUCACUAUUUUAUUUUAAAGAGUAAAUAUGUUUAUAAAUGUUAUACUGGUAUGAUUUUGGGUGUCCAUAAGGAGCAGAUUAAUUAGGAGGGAUGCUUCUAAAUGAUAAAUUGCUGGAAGUCUUGUGCUUUGAGGUGGUAAAUUUUCUUUUCUAAAAUUAUGAAAGAAUUUUCAAUGCAUGCUUAAGUUUAUUUCAGAACUUAAUUCAUAGAUGAUUGAAUGGUAAGAGUGAACUAGGUUUUAAAUUGUUAUGGGUGGUGAAAUUGCUGUGAACAUUUCUGAUGGGUUGAAGGUUGUUCAGUAUAAUCUAAGGGCUUUACUCAACUUGCUGAUAUAUGAGUACUCUGGAUGUUGGCCCUGCUGUAUUGUUAAACAUUAGGUUGUUGAGGUAUGAUCAUAAACUAGUAUUAUGUUGUUUCAACACUCUGAAUCAGUAUUGAUGUUCUGUCUUUUGAUUGAAAAUGACGUGAGAACACUCAACUUGAAUAACAAAACUUGAUUUCAUGAUCUGAAAUGUGUGACAGUGUACAUUAUGUGUCAUAUUGCUCUGUGAUAACCUGUUUUGUAAGGGUUAAUGGUCUACCCAGUGCGGGAUCAAUUAUGGGUAGUAGUUAGAGUGAUUUUAUGUAAAUUCUAUUUAAGUCAGCAUGUACAGGUGUUGUAAUGAUUACGAUUUGGACUAUGCUGCUGUUAAUGUGUGUAUAAUGUGUGUAGUACAGUAUAAUGAUUCUAAAUAAUUGGUUGGAAGUAUAUAUUACUAAGGACCGGUUUUGUAUCUUUACGUAAAUGAGAAGUGCAGAGCUAUUAUGCUACUGCCAAGAAUAAUGGUCUAAGGUCUGACGAUCUAUAGUAAAUUGUAAAAUUGAGUGGUAAGUGUAAAAGAGAAAUUAUAUUACAGUAUGUAUAUGAUAAUUGGAAAAGUGUAGAAUUAUGAUUCUUUAUGUUACGAUUGGUGUUUCUAAAGGAAUGAAGGUCGGGUUUUAAAUAUGUUAUGAUUCUUUAUGUUACAGUAUGUGUUAUGAUUCUUUACGUAUGUGUUAUGAUUCUUUACAGUAUGUGUUAUGAUUCUUUAUGUUACGAUUGCUAAUUCAGAUGGGUAGUUUGAUACUUAAAUGCAUGGUGGGCUUUGGAGAAUUCUGGUUGGGCAUUUCUAGUAAUUAAAAAUUUGAUCUUAGGUGCUUUAUGCAUGUAUGAUAGGUAUGAAUAAUACCUGCUGAAGUUUGAGUCUUUUCUUUGGUCCAAAAUCACGUAUACUACUUGUGGCCUAUGAAGUUUAAUUCUGGAAUUCUAUUUGAGUAGGAAGACUUACAUUUAAAUGCUAGAUCAUGUUGUCGUGUGUGGGCUGUGUCAGGUCUUGUAAAGGGAAACUAACUCUCUAGCUCUAAGUUUUGUGAUGAAAUAAUCGUUUUGUAUCUGGUUUUGGUUGAUGUUCUUAUUUUUUUGUGUGGAAUGAAUUGUGGAUGUGUAUGUCCAUGGGCUGUAAAUUUCUUUCUGUGAUUAUUUGUGUCAUGGAUUGAGGGAGCAGAAUGUCUUGUUUCUUUCCUUUGGGUGCUGAGCCUUGUCUUUGAUUCUGUGAAAUGUGAUGUUAUAUAACUGGGUGGCUUUUCUUUAUGAUGGCUGUAUCCUGAAUGCAGUUAACAUACUUUGUGAUUGGGAGUAGAUUUUUGGUUAUGAUUGGUUAUAUAUGUAUGUGACGUUCAUUGUUUUUAUUGGUCUGAGUUGGAGUUUAUCUGGUGCAAUACAUAAAUUAGUUAUUGUUAAGAAGUGGACUUUAAACCUAACUUAACCCCACAAAAUCGGCUUAUAAAGUGAAGUUUGCAUCCACACACACCCCUCACACUGAGGUAUAAGCAUCAUCUUGAGUGUGAAACUAGACAUUAAUGGGUGGUCCGAUAGCGGGUGAGACAAUAUAUCCAACAAACAACAAAUAUCGCUAGGAUAGGCUGACUCUGAUACCAUGUUAAGAAGUGGACUUUGAGCCUAACUCAAACUUACAAAAUCGACUUAUAAGAUGAGGUCUGCAUCCACUUAUAUAUUAUAAAUUGGUCUUAUCUCUAGUCGAUGUGAGACUUUCAACAGUUAUCAUAUCACUCUAUUUCGGUACGAAACCUUUCUGCUAGUAUAAGAGACUUGAUUUCCUGAUUAAUUGGAUGGUUGUAGCAAUUUAAUAUUUUUCGUUAGUUAAGAACACUACAAAAAAGAAGGGUAUUACCGAAGGCUAGAAGCCCUCGGAAAUAGUCAGUACAAGGUAAUUACA